rnacentral:misc_RNA from 1 species
UUUCCGUAGGUGAACCUGCGGAAGGAUCAUUACUGAGUGAGGGCCCCUCGGGGUCCAACCUCCCACCCGUGUUUAACGAACCUUGUUGCUUCGGCGGGCCCGCCUCACGGCCGCCGGGCGGCAUCUGCCCCCGGGCCCGCGCCCGCCGAAGCCACCUGUGAACGCUGUCUGAAGUAUGCAGUCUGAGACAAUUAUUAAAUUAAUUAAAACUUUCAACAACGGAUCUCUUGGUUCCG